rnacentral:rRNA from 1 species
GAUCAUGGCUCAGGAUGAAUGCUAGCGACAGGCUUAACACAUGCAAGUCGAGGGGCAGCACGGUGUAGCAAUACACUGGUGGCGACCGGCGCACGGGUGAGUAACACGUGUGCAACCAACCCCGUACCGGGAGAUAACCCGCGGAAACGUGGACUAACAUCCCAUAACACUCUAGAGCCGCAUGGUUCUGGACUUAAAAUUCCGGUGGUACGGGACGGGCACGCGCGACAUUAGGUAGUUGGCGGGGUAACGG